rnacentral:tRNA from 1 species
UGCCCCUUCGCCAAGCGGUAAGGCACCAGACUUUGACUCUGGCAUGCGUUGGUUCGAAUCCAGCAGGGGCAACCA